rnacentral:rRNA from 1 species
AGCAGUAUCCGAAGUACCAUAAGACACGAGAAACCUUGUGGGAAGUCGGGGGGACCACCCCCCAAGGCUAAAUACUACUUAGUGACCGAUAGCGCAUAGUACUGUGAAGGAAAGGUGAAAAGGACCCCGGGAGGGGAGUGAAAGAGAACCUGAAACCCUAUGUUUACAAGCUGUGGAACACCGCAAGGUGAACCGCGUACUUUUUGUAGAACGGUCCGGCGAGUUGCAUGUACUGGCAAGGUUAAGCACUAAAGGUGCGAAGCCGAAGAGAGAUCAAGUCUUAAUAGGGCGAAGAAGUCAGUGAAUGCAGACCCGAAACCGGGUGAUCUAUCCAUGUCCAGGUUGAAGUCAACGUAAAAGUUUAUGGAGGACCGAACCCACAUCCGUUGAAAAGGGUGGGGAUGAGGUGUGGAUAGGGGAGAAAUUCCAAUCGAACCCGGAGAUAGCUGGUUCUCCUCGAAAUAGUUUUAGGACUAGCCUUAAUUUAGUCUGAUGGAGGUAGAGCACUGAAUUUUUGCGGGGGCGUCAAAGCUUACCAAUGAAUAUCAAACUGCGAAUGCCAUACAGAUGAUGAUUAGGAGUCAGACUACACGAGAUAAGUUGGGUAGUCGAAAGGGAAAGAGCCCAGAUCUACGGCUAAGGUCCCAAAGUGAGUGUUAAGUGGAAAAGGAUGUAGGAUCUCAUAGACAACUAGGAUGUUGGCUUAGAAGCAGCCAUACAUUAAAAGAGUGCGUAAUAGCUCACUAGUCGAGAGGUUCUGCGCCGAAAAUGUCCGGGGCUAAAACACUACACCGAAGCCAAGGGAUGACGAAAGUCAUCGGUAGAGGAGCAAUCUUACCGACGCAGAAGCCAUACCGAAAGGAGUGGUGGAGAAGUAAGAAGAGAGAAUGCCGGAAUGAGUAGCGAGAGUGAGGUGAGAAUCCUCACGGCCAAAUACCCAAGGAUUCCAGAGUAAAGCUGAUCUGCUCUGGGUAAGUCGGGACCUAAGGCGAGGGAGAGAUCCGUAGUCGAUGGACAUCAGGUAUAGAAUCCUGAACUGCAUAUAAUCAGAAAUGUGGGGACACAGAAACUAAAGUCGAACCCGGGAGAGCAAAGACCGGGAUAAGCGAGGUAGCAGGUGGUAGGAAAAACCGCCACGAAAUGCGAAUGCGUGAUAUGUAGCGAAGAAAAGUAGCGAAGUCGAAUAGGGAGCUGUCAAGAAAAGCCGCUAUAGCGUUAUAUGUACCCGUACCGAAAACCGACACAGGUGGGUGAGGAGAGAAUCCUAAGGCCGGCGGGAGAAGCAUUGUUAAGGAACUCGGCAAAAUGACCCCGUAACUUCGGGAGAAGGGGUACCGAAAGGUCACAGAAAAAAGGCUCAAGCAACUGUUUAGCAAAAACACAGGUCUAUGCGAAACCGAAAGGUGAAGUAUAUGGGCUGACGCCUGCCCGGUGCUGGAAGGUUAAGAGGAGAGGUCAGGCAACGAAGCUUUGAAUCUAAGCCCCAGUAAACGGCGGCCGUAACUAUAACGGUCCUAAGGUAGCGAAAUUCCUUGUCGGGUAAGUUCCGACCCGCACGAAAGGCGUAAUGAUUUGAGCACUGUCUCAACAAUGCACCCGGUGAAAUUGAAGUACCAGUGAAGAUGCUGGUUACCUGCGCCAGGACGGAAAGACCCCAUGGAGCUUUACUCUAGUUUGAUACUGGGGUUUGAUGAUGCAUGUACAGGAUAGGUGGGAGACUGCGAGGCGAGGACGCCAGUUUUCGCGGAGUCACUGUUGGGAUACCACCCUUGUAUCAUUGAAUUUCUAACCCGUGGCCGUAAGCCGGUCAGGGGACAAUGUCAGAUGGGGAGUUUGACUGGGGCGGUCGCCUCCGAAAGAGUAUCGGAGGCGCUCAAAGGUUCCCUCAGAAUGGACGGAAACCAUUCAAAGAGUGCAAAGGCAUAAGGGAGCUUGACUGCGACACUGACGGGUGGAGCAGGUACGAAAGUAGGACUUAGUGAUCCGGUGGUUUUAAGUGGGAAAGCCAUCGCUCAACGGAUAAAAGCUACCCUGGGGAUAACAGGCUUAUCACUCCCAAGAGUUCACAUCGACGGAGUGGUUUGGCACCUCGAUGUCGGCUCAUCGCAUCCUGGGGCUGAAGUCGGUCCCAAG